GAGUGGAAACUUAGAUGGAAAUUUUGAAGCUUUAGGCUUCUAGUAUUUAGAGGGCGAGCCUAGUUGCAAUGGUACGGUUGGUCUAUUUCCACCUGGUGGUAGCGGGUUCAAGUUGAGGAAACGGCCUCUGCACAAAGCCUGGGUAAGGCUUUGUACGUCUAACCCUUCCCAGACCCUGCAGUAGUGUGAGCCUCGUGCACUGGGACUCUUUUUAUGCUUCUAUCAUUUCCAAUGUGUCAUUCUGAUUUUCCUUCUGAAUCAUUGCUUAUUUUUAGUGAUUGUUCCCUCCAUAUUUGAAUUGAUGACGAUCACUUCUUUAUAUGAAUGUGUCUGCUUCAUAUUUUUGAAUUAUCGACACCUUGUAUUUUCUGUUGAAUCUGAAGGCACCUAUUUACCUCACACAUUUUCUUCUCUUAACAGUUAUGGUCUUAAAUGUCAUCUUGCAUUUGAGUGAUUUUGAAGUUGACCUAUGCAUAAGUGCUACCUCAUUUCAGAUCAAGUUGCGCUUUAAGUUGAAGCUAGAAUUUCGCUACUGGUUAAUGAGAAGAAAAGGUUGUUCAAUGACCUCUGUUUUCUGUUAAAGGCUACUUUUAAUGGGUAUGGUGCACUGAAGAUGAAGAUUCAUCAAUCGUUGAGUUUCCUGAUGAUUUCACCAUCCAUAUUAACACUGGCCUUGAUUCUUUCUCCAACCCAAAGAAGAAAUUCGAAUUUGAUAGGGUGUAUGGACUGCAUGUUGGGCAAGGGGAGCUCUUCCAUGAUGUUCAGCCAUUUGUGCAGUCAGCUUUGGAUGGUUAUAAGGUUUCGAAUCACGAGUUUCAGAUGAGUAGAAUCAAACCAUAUUUCUCUUUUCUAUCUUUCCUUCUCUGUAACUUUCUCUCUUUAUUUCUGAGCCGAUCAUAUUACUCUCUCCUUAUCUGGUUCAAGAGCAUGGUUGUCCCUGUUCUUAAAACAAACCUUCAUUUGGUAUGGAUCUUCUCCGUGGUUUGUCGUGACGUUUGAAGGGCUGGUUCGUUGGUUGCUGCUGGGAUUUCUUAGGUAAAGAAAUCCAUAAAGAUGAACUUAAGAUCGGCUUAUGGAACGUAACAUCCAACGUUUUUUGAAUCUCCUUUUCUUUGGACUUUACUGGUAGGAGUUCAAGCAGCCCUUUCUUGAUCAAACGUUUUAUUCACCUUAAAAAAUAAAAGUUAUUCUAGAAUGUUGGUGGAGUUUUGCACGUCUUGGAUUAAUAGCCCCAAAACAGAACAUAUUCUCAUGAUUUUUUUUUUUUUUUUGGUUUAU